rnacentral:rRNA from 1 species
CACGUAGGGCGCAAGCGUUGUCCGGAAUUAUUGGGCGUAAAGAGCUCGUAGGCGGUCUGUUGCGUCUGCUGUGAAAACUCGGGGCUUAACCCCGAGCCUGCAGUGGAUACGGGCAGACUAGAGGUAGGUAGGGGAGAAUGGAAUUCCCGGUGUAGCGGUGAAAUGCGCAGAUAUCGGGAGGAACACCAAUGGCGAAGGCAGCUCGCUGGGACGUUACUGACGCUGAGACGCGAAAGCGUGGGGAGCAAACAGG